AUACGUAGGUGACAAGCGUUAUCCGGAUUUACUGGGCGUAAAGGGCGUGUAGGCGGUCUUGCAAGUCAGAAGUGAAAUUCCUGAGCUCAACUCGGGCGCUGCUUCUGAAACUGCAGGACUUGAGUGCUGGAGGGGAUAGCGGAAUUCCUAGUGGAGCGGUAAAAUGCACAGAUAUUAGGAAGAACACCGGUGGCGAAGGCGGCUAUCUGGACAGUAACUGACGCUGAGGCGCGAAAGCGUGGGGAGCAAACAGGAUUAGAUACCCUGGUAGUCCACACUGUAAACGAUGAAUGCUAGGUGUAGGGGGUAUCGACCCCUUCUGUGCCGCAGUCAACACAAUAAGCAUUCCGCCUGGGGAGUACAGCCGCAAGGUUGAAACUCAAAUGAAUUGACGGGG
rnacentral:rRNA from 1 species